rnacentral:snRNA from 1 species
AUUUUUUCGCAGAGGCGAUAUCGUAGCCUGUGAGGUUAAUCCGAGGCGUGAUCAUUGCUGGUUGAAA